GAGUUUGAUCAUGGCUCAGGAUGAACGCUAGCGGCAGGCCUAAUACAUGCAAGUCGAGGGGCAGCGCGGGUAGCAAUACCUGGCGGCGACCGGCGCGCGGGUGCGUAACACGUAUACAAUCUGCCUUUAACAGGGGGAUAGCCCGGAGAAAUCCGGAUUAAUACCCCAUAAUAUAUUGAGUGGCAUCACUUGAUAUUGAAAGCUCCGGCGGUUAGAGAUGAGUAUGCGCCUGAUUAGUUAGUUGGUGAGGUAACGGCUCACCAAGACUUCGAUCAGUAGGGGAUCUGAGAGGACUACCCCCCACACGGAUACUGAGACACGGAUCCGACUCCUACGGGAGGCAGCAGUAAGGAAUAUUGGACAAUGCCCGCAAGGGUGAUCCAGCCAUGCCGCGUGCAGGAAGACGGCCCUAUGGGUUGUAAACUGCUUUUACACCGGAGAAAACCCCUUCUCGUGAGGAGGGCUGAUAGUAUGGUGAGAAUAAGCAUCGGCUAACUUCGUGCCAGC
rnacentral:rRNA from 1 species